GUGGAGCAUGUGGCUUAAUUUGACUCAACGCGGGGAAUCUUACUAGGUCCGGACCGAUUCUAUGAUCGUCGUACUGUGGGGUGCUACGUGAUUACUGGAUGAGUGGUGCAUGGCCGUUCUUAGUUCGUGGUGUCAGUUGUCUACUUAAUUGUCAUUGGUUCUCGUAUCAUGCGAGAACUGAUAACGAACGAGAUCGAGGCCCGUGGUUGUGUCGUUGGUUAUUAUUGUGUGCGGCAUUAACCACGGGGAUCGCGUAAUACUCCACGGUACGAUCGAAAGACUCGGCAAUAACAGGUCUGUGAUGCCCUCAGAUGUUCUAGGCUGCACACGUGCUACAUUGUGGUUUCGCGUAGUGUGUGUGUGCAUAGAACUGAUAAGAUCCCCCGCACCGAGUCUCAAUUAAUCACUUGGUUGGACUCACCGAUUGUAUAAUUAUUCGGUAUACUAA
rnacentral:rRNA from 1 species